GGUUCCAUACGCAAGUUAGCUACCAACAUCAACUUUACUGAUCCUAAAAUCAAUCACCACCACAAGAACACAAUAAAGUUCUCCAAAUGGUUGCUCGAGGAAGAGCUAGCUGCUGAAUCCGACCACAUUUACCGCUUGGAGUAGCCAACCACCUGUUUGUAGAGGGAUUUAGAGACGUCAGCGGCCGCCAUCUCGCACCUAAGAAUCAAAACAAAUAUUCAGGCGAAUAAAUAAGUGCACAAGAGAUAUUUCUUUAGCAAGACAUUUUCACGGAACAGGCAAACCAAACUUUUUCAAUGAACUUUUUUAGGUUUAUGUGUUCAAACUUGGAAACUUUCCAAACUAGUACGUAUCUCGCUUGUCAUUUUUCACUUCACUAUGGGAUCAGAAGUGCACAACAUAUACAAACAUUAACACAAGGAUCAAUUGGGGGCAAACAACAGAACACAAAACUGAACAUCGAGGAGAUAAAUAGAAACAGUCUUUGAACUGAAUUAAAAUUCUAAUUGAACAAGAUUAAAUUUAGAAACUGAACCAAGUGUGUCACGAGUUAGUCAAUGUGGAAGAUAAUUCCAUUUGCUAUCUAUCUCUCUCUCACACAUCACCCUGCUGCAGCAACAAACAGCAGCAGCACACAAAUGCGCACGCACAACAAGUAGCUAGCAAGCAGCAGGGGCUUCAGGCAACAUGAGACAUCAGCCAACAGCAGACAGUACUACCAUUUUAUGAACUCUUCUUUUCUUUGAUCUUUUUAUUCCUAAAACUUCCACCGGUGAACCUGUGAACUUAUCUGCUUUUAUAAUUUUAACUUUUUCAGAAUAGUCAUACCAUGUGUAUACAGCAAGAGUGCCCUCAUAUCUAAAUUUUUAUGUAUCAUACAAUAGCAUUAACCAUAAUUGAGAAAAAAGAGGAUUUUGCAUACACACCGAUGGUGUUAAUGCCAAAUAUAAUCUAGCCAUGCUCAACAUCCAGUAAGGAUGAAAAAUGCAAUUCAUGUUGUUAAUAGAUCAUACAGCCUUAGAAUUUCGCACUUAAUUAUUUCUCAACAUGUCAACGCUCCCAUGAUUCAACUUGUAUUGGCGUCAAUGUUCCACUUGGACGGCUGCCAGCACCCCUGGUGGAUGAGCUCGCGCCCCAGGGCAGCAAGGCGACCAACGGGAACUGUACACGGUCAUUCUUUUUCUCGCAACCAACCACUACAGGGUGGGGGUGAGGAGGGGAAGCAGGGUAUGGAGCAGCUCCCGUCAAAAACGGGUGCUCUUGCUCGUGACCGCCGUCAACGAGACGUCGACGAUGGGCUCCGACAACGGAUGUGCAGCAGAGAGAAUUUCAUGGGGAAUUCAACUAAAUUCGAAUUUUUGCAUACGGAAAAGAAUGUCAGAACAUUUGAGACAGUAGUGUGUUUACUUGUCGAUGUCAUUGCCAGUACCUAACUUGCUCAUCUCCAGCUCUUCGAUGUUGUUACUGCUGUUGUUGUUGCCCCCAUUUUUUUGAACCUAUCUCGGCGCCAUAUCAGAACCUCCAUUUUCUGUUUUAUUGAACUAAACCAAAAAUAAAAACAGAGCUUAAUUUAAGUUAACUAAAACUUAGAAAUUGAACUUAACUAAGAUAACAAACUGAACUCUCUUUAGUUACUACUAGCUAUAUGAUCAAAAUUUUCCUACUCAGAAUAUCAGAAAGUUCUUCACUCAUUUACCAACUAUAGUAAGAUGGCAUGAACAAUCUUAAUAAGCAUAACAAGAUAGCAUGGACAAUGAGACCAGACUUGCAACAAGAAAUUAUUCAUUUAUUAACUCAUCAAGUUUCUAGAAACUAUUAGCAGGAUACAAACAGUACUAUCUUGUGAUAUAUGAUGGCAAAGAAAAUUAUUACUAAGACAGAAAGAAGCACGCUGAAGUUCAGUUAGAUACGGAGGAGUAGUAUCUUAGAAGCAUGAAAAUGAAGCACUUUUCGGUUACUCAAAUAACAUGGGGAAUACAUUAGAUAGCUGAAGUAAAAAUAAGAGUUGACUUAACUAAACUAAAAAUAAGAAUUGAACUGAACUAAAACUGGAAAUUGAACUGAACAAAAAUUAGAAAUUGAACUGAAGCAAUAAACUCAACCGAGACUACUAUGAACUUAUAUAUUUCGUUUGCAUAGUGAAUUACAAAUCGCAUUUGAACCACUGAGCUUUUGCACAAUGAAGUUAUAUUUUCUUAUAGCAAGCUACACUAGAAUUGAAAAUGUUUUGGAUCCAAAGAGACAAAAAACAAGGAAUAUUCAACUUGUUUUUUAUACCAUUUUGAUAACUUGAACUGAUAGUGAUAGAAAGUAAGAAAUAUGUACAAGAUGAAUCUUUCUGGCUGCUUAUUGGGGACAAUUAUUAAGGUAAAUGUGUUUAUCACAUCUAAGUGUACAAUUUUAUUUUAUUUUGCAAUUCAGAAUGUACAAACUAUUUGAAUAGUUGCUGAACAUAAAUGACAGAAUAUUAAUGUAUGGUGCGAAUUUUGUCAUGACUCGUGCGCCCAGGAGCGGCCGAACUGCAUGAUGGCGCUGCUGCACCAACGGAGAGUAGGAGAGGUGGAAGAUGAAGGCUGGCCUGCAUAUUUCGCCGGCGGACGCCUGCUGGAGCACCUCCUGCUCCCUUAACGAUGAUGGAAGGAGGCAUGGAUGUCUCUGCGAUGGGGGAAGGAGGGACAAGGGAGGAGGAGGAAACCCGGUGGAGCACGGAUGAGUGUACGUCGCCGGGGAGGAAAUCCUGACCAAGAAAUCACUUUUUUCACAAAACUAAACUCUUGAACUUGCUACACGGCAGUCUUUGAACCUCCUACGGGAACAGAAUAUAUAUCAUUACAACAUAUAUAUUUUGCGAACAUAUCAGCAGAAAACACUCAAUAGAAUUGUUUGUUGUACUAUAUUUUAUAGAACAAAUUAUACUGAACUUAACUAAAAUUAGAAAUUGUACUGAGCUAAAAUAAGAAACGUAAACUGAGUGUCUCGCUAAAAUAAGAACCUGACAGACUUCACUAAACCACAGUCUGUGUGAACUCUUCCAGAAUUUCAGAGAUAACAGCUCUUUUCACGCAUAAUUAGUUCUUACCUUUUUGUAAUGAUAGUACUGAUUUUUUUGUAAUGAUGGUACUGAUCUUCUAAAACAUAUGUCGUGGACCCUUGACUUCGGACAAGUGACCUGCCAUUGCAAACUUAGGAUAUUGGACUUAUCUCCAAGAUUAGACUGUAAAUCAAGUGGCCUUCUACUGAUUGCUGAAGCGUUUGUACAUGUAAACAUUUUUACUGAAUUGCUACAUUUUUUCUGCUCCGCACUUGCUACCUCUCAAGGGUGAACUGAUAUCAAAAUUCUAUUUUUGCCAAACUGCUAAAAAAAUAUGUGUAUUUUACAUCCAUGGCGGCAGUGUGCAGCAGUCGAGCAUGCAGUGCGUAUGCUGGCUGCCAAUGCUGGUUGUGGUGCCGUUAUUUGCCGAAAGCAUGUUGGCCACAUCGCGGGCAAGCUUCCAUGGAAUUGAGACUUGCAGAAUUCAAACUAAUAAAAAGAUGUAGAAUCCAUCAGUGAUCAUGCAUCACCUUGGACUGUUGUAUGUACUCCACUUGGACGGCUGUGCAACGCUUUGUUAAGAUGGUGGCCGUUAUUCUACUUGGACUGAUGUCCAGCGCGUUCAUUCCCAUGUAGGUGGUGCUGGCCACCAUCGCCGGGAUACCGUGCCCAUGCACAUCCAGCUCCUUUGCGGUCUCUGCAGUUCACAGACAUGAAAAAAGGGGGCACUUUUUAUCUAUGAAUCAUAGCAAGAAUUCCAUGGUAUAAUACUGAAGUUCCAUCGAAUUGGGGUACUAAUUAGGAAAUGUCACUGACCUACAACUAGAGAAGUCCCCCAAAACCCCAGCUUCGCUGCUAAUCCUAGAAACCGUAGCAAGAAUCCCGUGCUACUUGAGAAAUCGUGACUGGUCUGCAGCUAGAAAACCCCAGCAGCAUCAGGCACCACGGAGCCACCACUAAUCGGCCAACGAAAUCGGAAGGCAGCGGCCGGCGCGCGCACGUACGGUGGUUAAAUCGACCCUAAGAGGCCGGCCCGGGCAUAUCUAGAGCAGACGGAGACGGAACACUGGAGGGGGCAGAGAGAGAGGCGCGGUUUACUCUUGAUUUUGCGGACGCUGCCGUCGUGGGCGGCGCAAAUGAGCCUGGCCUCCAGCGGCCACCGGUCACGCUCUGCACAAGAACAAGAAAACCGAUCGAAUGGUGAGAUGUACGGGCGGCGUAGACAGAGCAAUGAAUUCGGUCACGGGUCACCUUUGCGGAGGAGGAUGGCAUGCGGUAGUGGUGUCGAACGGCCUGCAGUGAUGGCGUCGAACGGCCAUGGCGGCAGUGGGGGAGGAGGGCCUCGCCGGUGAGCAGGUCGGUGGCGCGGUGGCGCUUGGCCAGGCGGAGUAGGGGGCGGGCGUCCCUUAGGAGGUGUGGGGCGGUGCGUGGCCGGGAGGUGGGGGCGGUGCGGCGCCGGACGGUGGGGGCGGCGCGGCGCGGCGCCGGGAGGUGGAAGCAGGGGUGGCGCCGGGAAGAAGGUGGGGACGGGGCGGCAUCAGGAAGAAGGUGGGGGUGGGGCGGCGCCGGGAAGAAGGUGGGGGCGGGGCGGCGCCGGGAUCGGCCCCUUAUUUGGCAGUUUGGGACACUGGGCACCUUACCUUGUAGCCGUUAGAUGGUGAGUUGAUGUAUGACAUUUGUGUUGAUAUGGUAAAUAAUUAAUGUGAUUAUAUAUGGCAGUAAUUAAUAAGUAUGGUAAGCGUGCAUGCAUGCAUGACAACCAUUUAUGUUUAAAUUAAUAGAUAGUCAUAAAUGAAUUAAAUCUUCCAAAUUUUACGUUCAGGUAUAUACACAUAUAUUUCUGGUUAGAGUAUGUAUACAUAAGUAUAUGUCGGUGCAUGAUACAUAAAUUUAACGUUGGGUAUGUACAUUUUUAUGGGUACGUAGAGAAAAAAAUAAUGUCAAGGUAUGUACGCAUAAAUUUUAUGUUUUUGCAAAUUGCAUAAAUUUUAUUUUGGGUUAUGUAUAUUUAUGUGUAUGUGCAUAUAAAUUUCACACAAGGAUAAGUAUAUUUAUGAGUAUCUAUACAUAAAUUUCACGUUGAGUAUAUAUAUUUAUGAAUAUGUACACGUAAAUUUUAAGACAAGGUAUGUACGGUUAUGGGUAUGUACACAUAAAUUUUAAGGCAGGGUAUUUUUUUUGCGGGGCAAGUCAGGGGACGUACAUAUAAAUUUCACAUUGGGGUAUGUACAGGAUAUGUAAAAAAGAUUUCAUGUCAGAGUAUGCAUAUUUUUGUAUAUACAUUUUUUUGCUAGGGCUUGAUUACGUAUUUAAAAAUAUAUUGGUUAUCAUCAUACAUUAAUUAUCAUCUUGAGGUAUGUUAUGUUUGGGACGUAUAUUUCUUAGGUAUAUCAAUUCGCUUAUCGUGCAUGGGUAUAUCAUUUUUAGGUUUCUGUCAUAGAUGUAUUAUUAUAUGUGUAUAAAUUCUUUGUGUUAGGUAUAUGGGUACAUAGGACAAAUUCUUACUACAUAGAUGAAAGUAUUUUUUAUUUUUAAUAGCAAAAAAAGAUGGGUGCAUCAUAUGUUUAUGAGUAUUGUAUUUCGAUAAAGAAUACAAGGCAAAAGCAAGAAAUUGUACGCAAGGUAUUAUAGUGCAUAUAUUAUAAAUAAAGAUUUAAAAGAAACUAGGAUGUCAUAUCAUAUAUGAAAAUAAAUUGUAUGCUAUUAUAAUGACUUGCAUUUUAUGACAGGUAUAUCAUGCACCAAUAUUUGGAAAGAGAUCAAUCACAUGGGGCAUUAAUUGCAUGGAAAAUGGUUGCGUACUCCUCGGAGUACGUACUCCCGCUCCUCAUAUACCACAUAGAUGAAUCUUUUAUGCCUCUUUAUUAUUUUUAAUAUACUUCAUUAGUAAUUAUUAGAUAUCCGAAAAUGAGUUUCAUGAAAAAAUUCAUGUGAGUCUAUAUAUUUUUAAAUGUUUACAUAUAUACUGAUGUUUUUGUACGUGAAAAAGGUAUAUUACAAAAAGUAUGUCGCAGAUGAUAUUUUUUGAACAAAACUUGUAUUGGGAUAUCUUAGAAUAUUUACUGAAAUAUAUUGCGAAUAUUAAAGAGGUAUAAUUAAUGCGUAUAUAAAGUAUAUUGAGGAUGGGAGUACAUACUCCCAGGAAUACAGAAGGGGAGUCCUACAUAUAAUAGCUUUCCAUAUUCUGUCUGAAUGCAUUAUUACCAUAAUGGUCUACGAUUACUUUCCAAAAAAAUGUAUUAUAUUUAUUUGCUAGCAAUAGUUCCUUUCCAAAACAAAAUUGUAUGGUGUUUCUUCUAUACUAAUGCACGCUAGUGUCGGUUCUACAAAAAAGAUGGUGUGUCUACGUAUAUACACAAGAUAUAUUUAAUUUCAAGGUAUCUGAACUUUAAGAAAAAUUAAGGCCAGUCUGAAAUUUUUAACGACUAAUUUAUCUAUAUAAUUUAAUGUGACCAAAUAAUAUAUAUGCAGUACGAGCCUUUCCUACUAUUUCAAUGGUUAACCAAAAUAUAAUACAUUGUCCUAGUUUUUUUCGAGGAUAUGCCAAAGGCGUACCAUAGCUUUAUAGAAGAGAGAAAAAUAUGUACAAGAGAGAUUACACGGUCGGUAGAAGGCCCAAACUGAUCCCUCUACCAAACCCUCCACUCAUCCAAACUCUAUCCUACUACUCACUUCACGUAGAAACUUUUAGGUAUGUAGAAAGCAUGUGUGUACCGAGAAUCAAUAGUUUUGCUCAUACAUAUACCUAAGAUAUUGUACCCAUAUUUUUUUUAAUAAGGUGAAUCAUGUUGUAUAAUUGUUACUCAACUGGUAUUGGGUGCCUGUAUUUUGGGCGUUGUCAUACAUACACAUCAAAUGUAUGAUACCCGAUAUAUCGUAUGACUAAUGUAUGAUACCCCAUAUAUCAUAUGACUAAUGUAUGGUACCCAUGGUAUACGUAGACCUCCUGUUCGGUAUACGUAGGACAUACCCAUGGUAUCAUAUACCCAAUGUACUGUAUCCCUAAUGUCCACAAAAAAUAUGUAUACUCAUUGGGUAUAUCUAUAUACCUAUUGAGUAUACCAAUGGUAUCAUAUAACCAAUGGAUGUUCUUGUGUAUUUUUUAAAUGAUUUAAUUUUCAAGGUAUCUAACAUUUAAAGAAAAUUAAGGUUGGGUUGCACUUUCUGGCAAUUAAUUUCCCUAUACAAAUUAACAUGGACAAAUAAUAUAAUAUGUCAUCCUAGUUAUUUUUUUUUUGUCUUUUAGAUUUGUAUAGAACAUGUUGAUGCCGAGCCAAUUUUUUCAUUCGUACAUAUACCUAAGAUAUCGUAUCCAUAUACUUUUUCUAGUAGACUUAUAUUCCUUGGAGAUGUACACAAAACUGAUAUACUUUUGCAUGGGGAUAUACCAGAAAAUAACAGACCCUUUGCUGAUACAUGUAUACUCGUUCGAGACAUACCUGUAAAUGAUACUGGAGACAUACCCAAAAAAAUGUAUACCCAACAAUAUAAAUAAAUGUGACAUACUCGGAAAUUAUAUACUCAAAAUCUAUACACUACUAGGAAAAGGGCUAUAGAUAGGAUUAAUACUAAUGGCGCACCAUGGAAGCAGUGCGCCACUACUAUAUACUAAUGGCGCACCGGUUGGUAAUACGUCAUUAGUGUGGAAGACACUAAUGGCGCACCAGAAACAGGGUGCGCCACUAGUAUUAAUUUUUUUUCCAUUUUUUCAUACAUACUAAUGACGCAUCAGGUCGAAGUGCGCCAUUACUAAUUCUAAGUAGUAAUGGCGCACCAAGCAGACAGUGCGCCAUUACUGUAAAAAAAAUUAUUUUUUUUUGCAAAACUACUAAUGGCGCAUCGUUUCAGAGUGCGCCAUUACUAGUUUAAACUAGUAAUGGCGCACUAUUACCCGGUGCGCCAUUAGUAUAUAUAUUUAUUUUUUUACUUUUUUGCAAAACUACUAAUGGCGCACCACCUGCAGGUGGUGCGUCAUUUGCUGGUGGUGCGUCAUUAGUAACCUGGGACCCCCGCAAGAUAUUUUGGACAGCCCCACACCUACCCACUCACUUUCCCCACUUCAUUCCCUCCACCUCCUUCUCCAAGCUUUCGGCCAUCUCCUCCUCCUCACCUCAUUUCCACCAUAGAUUCAUCAAAAUUAAGUGGUGAUAUUACCUUUUUUUUAUAGGUAAGUAAGGGGAAAGCUAUCUUCAUGAUGUAGAUCUACUUUUUUCUCCCUAGCUCGCUCCAACAACGUGCACAUGCACUUUUUGUGGCCUAGCUAGAUCUAUGUAUGUUUGUGGUGUUGCAUAUAUGUUUGUGUUUGAAGGUACCGGUAUUUGAAAUGCGAUAGUUACCAAUAUUUUGCCGAAAUGUUUUGAUUCAUUUCCGUUUCGGCGAGAAUUUUGGCACUAUGCAUUCUUUUUUGUCCUAUUUUUAGGGAAGGUCAUGCCAAAUUUUUUUUGGUUCUAAAAUAUCGUUUUGCUCUACCCCGCAGGCGACCAUGGUCCGCACGAUGACUGAAGGCAUCGUGAAUAGGUUUUUGAGCUCCGCGGAGGCCGAGAUGCUUCAAAAGAAUGAGACGGAGAUAAGAUGUCCGUGUAGAAGAUGCAAGCUGAAGAGCCUUAUUGCGGACCCGGAUUCCGGGCAGGUGCGGGACCACCUGCUCUUGCGUGGUUUCAUGGAUGGCUAUCGGUGGCAAGGUGAUGAAGAUGACUAUGAAGUCGUCCAUGGGGGCCGGGUAAGAAAUGAGGAAGGAAAACAAGACAAGUACCACCGCGGCGAGGGCGGGCGAGAAGACGAAGAAUCUCCUGGACAUGAUCACGACGGUGAUGCUGUACACAGUCAUCAUGUAGAAGAUGUCGUACAUGAUGAUGAGGAAGAUCAAGACGAAGGGCAUGAUCAUGAAGAUGAAGAUGCCGGAGCAGACGACGAUGGAGGCUGGGUGCAGGACCCUCAUAUUCAAGAGCUGCUUCUCAAGCAGACGGAUAACGCAAGAGUUGUCGCCCGAGAGAAAGCCAAGCUGGAUCAACUGGAGAUAGACGCGGUUACUCCAUUGUAUGAAGGAUGCAGGCCCGAGGAUACCCGCCUGAAAGUAACGCUCAUGGCUCUGGAGAUGAAGAUAAAACACAAAAUGACCGACGCAUGCUUCGACGAGAACAUGUCA
rnacentral:lncRNA from 1 species